UAUUUUCCAUUCCUUUAAUCAUUCUUGUGGCCUUUCUCUGAAUCCUCUCCAAUUAAUCAGCAUCCUCCUUAUGUUGUGUACACCAGACCUGGACAUACUAUUCCUGUAGCAGUUACACCGGUGCCAAAUACAAAGAUCAAAAGCCAAGUCAUCCAGCUUACCAUUUGGGAUCUUCUCUUCAUAGAUGAUGCUGCAUUCUUCUCUAACUCACCUGAUGAAUUGCAGAUCAUGAUGAACAGAUUCUCUGUUGCAUGUAUCAAGUUCGGCAUGGUAAUCAGUAUCAAGAAAACAGUUUCCAUGUAUGACGAGGUGUGGGGAAUCCUGUCCAGUGCGAGGCAAUUCCUCAUUUCAGCUGCAAGAGUGAGCUGCUUCCCUCACCAUCUCAGUGAAAUAUCUCUGAUGCUUGUUGG